AGCUGAAAAUGUUUUGAAGAAUGCUUUUGAUAUUAAUCAAUCGUGUAAGGAAUGUGAUGGUCGUAAUAACUAUGAUGAUCCUUCUAAUGAUGAUGAUAACAACAACAAUGGUGGUGGUGGCUCAAAUCAGAUGAAAUUAGGUGUUCAUGGAUCAUUGUUCUUGAAUGUGGCUUGAAUGUCCUUGUCGUUUGAUAAAAGUUUAUUAGAC
rnacentral:lncRNA from 1 species